rnacentral:rRNA from 1 species
UACGUAGGUGGCAAGCGUUGUCCGGAUUUAUUGGGUUUAAAGGGUGCGCAGGCGGUUAUAUAAGACAGAUGUGAAAUCCCCGGGCUCAACCUGGGAACUGCGUUGUGACUGUAUGACUAGAGUACGGUAGAGAGGGUGGAAUUCUCGGUGUAGCGGUGAAAUGCGUAGAUAUCGAGAGGAACACCUGCGGCGAAGGCGGUUGCUGGCCGACACUGACGCUCAUGCACGAAGCGUGGGAGCAACAGG